rnacentral:rRNA from 1 species
UACGGGGGGGGUAAGCGUUGUUCGGAAUUACUGGGCGUAAAGGGCUCGUAGGCGGCCAACUAAGUCAGACGUGAAAUCCCUCAGCUUAACUGGGGAACUGCGUCUGAUACUGGAUGGCUUGGAUCCGGGAGAGGGAUGCGGAAUUCCAGGUGUAGCGGUGAAAUGCGUAGAUAUCUGGAGGAAUACCGGUGGCGAAGGCGGCAUCCUGGACCGGCAUUGACGCUGAGGCGCGAAAGCCAGGGGAGCAAACGGG